rnacentral:misc_RNA from 1 species
UUUCCGUAGGUGAACCUGCGGAAGGAUCAUUACCAAAGAAAAUAACACCAUAGUGGAUCAGCCGUGUGUGUUGGUGUGUGUGUGCGUGAUGGCAAGUCUUUAUUGACAGCGCUACUACUAUCUCACCACCCACACACGGUACCUAUUAGAACUAGUAGAUCUUGUAUUUUCAAAUACACAAACAACUUUUAACAAUGGAUCUCUAGGCUCUU